AGUUAUGAAGUAAUUUCAAUCGAUAGCAAAUGAAAUCUGGUCCACUGAUUAAAUUAGUUAAAUCUGAUUCAAAAAAAAAAGAGAAGAAAGCUCAAGAACUAGCAGCCAAGACCAAUAAUGUACAAAAAGAAGAUGAAAAAGAUAAAGAGAACGGAAAGAAAGACAAGCAAGCAAGCAAGAACGAAGAAGAAGAAGAAGAAGUGGAGGAGGAGGAGGAGGAAGAAGAAGAAUACGACGGGAGGUGGAGGAAAAGUAUUAUAUUUCCCCUUUUGGUAUAGCUUGCUAGCGGCUUCCCCCAAUUUUAAUUCCCCCUAAAAUUGAUUAAAUUAGGUUUUAGUCAAUUUAUCCUUCAUUUAAUUUAAAGGAUCAAGCUGUCAAUUUAUAAACUUGAGGGCAACUCCACAAUACGUAAUCAUUGAUUACAUAAUUGUCAUUUACAUCCAAUACUUAAGACUUAUGUCACCGCUCAAUUUAUUUUGAAACCUUACCGUCUCUUUUUUAUAAAAGUCCCUACUUAGUAGAAGCAUGGGUAAGCAGCUGAUAUCAACACGCUUGCUUGUCUGUAAUAAAUAUUUAUGUUGAGGACAAUUUUGAUGUUUCACCACACCUAUACAUAUAGGUGUCUUUCAUUCUGAAAAGUCACGUAAGAUACCACUUUUCUAUUCACUUUUCUCUACAUAGAUAGAUCAAAAACCAAAUCUACCAUAACUUGUUCUGUUUCCAUAUUCUGAUUUUGAGUAAUUUCUUUCAGAUUUCAGUCUGUUUUGCGCUACUUGACAUUUUUGGAUGGUUCAACGUUCCAAAUUAUGAAUUUCUUGAUGUCAUGUAUCUUUAAAAUAAGGGGAAUUGGAUCUUGGAACGGAAGAAACAUAAGUUAUAUUUGAAUCUCCUUUCACAAAAGUCGAACAAGUGGCACUGCAUCAAUAGUUGUUUCGACCUAGGUUGGCAUUACUGCAUGUUCAUUAAACAGUUAUGUUGUCAACAAAUGUAACGACUCUACAUACUCUACUCGCUAAGUUUUUUGAAAUUAGGUAUCAUAAGUGUGAUUUUGUUACAUCUUGGCACUCAAGUCAAUGUAGGUUACUGCAUAAUGUUGUUAAGCACUAUAUCUAAUUGAAGAAAUAUAUUAAUAUUGUUGUUUUUUGGAA